rnacentral:rRNA from 1 species
GACGAACGCUGGCGGCGUGCUUAACACAUGCAAGUCGAACGGAAAGGCCCUGCUUUUGUGGGGUGCUCGAGUGGCGAACGGGUGAGUAACACGUGAGUAACCUGCCCUUGACUUUGGGAUAACUUCAGGAAACUGGGGCUAAUACCGGAUAGGAGCUCCUGCUGCAUGGUGGGGGUUGGAAAGUUUCGGCGGUUGGGGAUGGACUCGCGGCUUAUCAGCUUGUUGGUGGGGUAGUGGCUUACCAAGGCUUUGACGGGUAGCCGGCCUGAGAGGGUGACCGGCCACAUUGGGACUGAGAUACGGCCCAGACUCCAACGGGAGGCAGCAGUGGGGAAUAUUGCACAAUGGGCGGAAGCCUGAUGCAGCAGCGCCGCGUGCGGGAUGACGGCCUUCGGGUUGUAAACCGCUUUCGCCUGUGACGAAGCGUGAGUGACGGUAAUGGGUAAAGAAGCACCGGCUAACUACGUG